UAAUGAACUGGUUUAAAUGUUAUUUUAUUUAAAAUUACAUAAGAAUAGAUCUUAACUACCUAGGAGAUCUAGCCAGCAUUGAAAGGGUUAUUCUAACUGUCUGCUAAACUUUACGACCUUACGCUGCACUCUGAGGAAUUCUGUUCUUCGCUGUGAAAAGUUUCACUUUCAGUCUGUGUUAAAGAUAGUCAUAAAUAAAGACUUGACAGAAAAUGCUGUUCAGAGUUAAUAGCCAUUGAAACGUAAUACCCAUUCCUUUGUAUUGCAUAUCAUUUUAUACUGAAUAUUCAUUGAUUA